rnacentral:rRNA from 1 species
UACGGAGGGUGCGAGCGUUGUCCGGAAUCACUGGGCGUAAAGGGCGCGUAGGCGGCAGGCCAAGCGUGUGGUGAAAGCCCCGGGGCUCAACCCCGGGUCGGCCAUGCGGACUGGCGUGCUUGAGCACUGUAGGGGCGGGUGGAAUUCCGGGUGUAGCGGUGGAAUGCGUAGAGAUCCGGAAGAACACCGGUGGCGAAAGCGGCGAGCUGGACCACUACUGACGCUGAAGAACGAAAGCUAGGGGAGCAAACAGGAGUUAGAAAACCCUA